rnacentral:lncRNA from 1 species
UGUUAUCAAAAAGUUUAUGCAUGUUUGACUCUCAAAAGUAGGAUCAAGGUUUGAAUGGAAAAGGGUAUACCCAUUUAGGUCAUGGUCGUCGAUACCCAUUAAAUCAAGGGCAAAGUUGUCAGGCAAAGUAAUGGACUCGUACUUUGCUUGAUUUGCGUCUUCGGGUAGAUUAAUAUCAGCAUUUGCAUAAGCCUUGCUUAUUUCUAUACGUAAAGAAUUACAGUCGUGCUGGAGAUACUCGACUUUCUUUGAGUAAAUUCUAACAACGCCAAAUAGAAGAUGCCCGGACAUUCUUAAGGCAAUCGGGACUUCCGGGUUCAUUAUUUUCUCUACAGAAGUUCAAUCCAUGCAUCAGUCAGGGAUGUUGACACUAAUAUAGUUGGGUUUCUUGAGCCUGUUUUGAAGAUGUGCUGCACACCACACAGUGCCCAAUGGACCCUUUCUAGCAAGCAGAUUGUGAGAGUAGAACAUCUUCAAGAUUGGAUUUUUUGUUGAAUGACACAAAUGGGUUUUGUGAGAAUUGGGGGUGGGAGUGAGUGAAUUAAGGUUGAAAAUUGGGGGAAAUUACGGGGAGGGUGAAGAAAAUGGCGCCAUUUUAGGGAAGAAUGUAAUCCAUGAUUUUGUUU